AGAGUUUGAUCAUGGCUCAGAUUGAACGCUGGCGGCAGGCCUAACACAUGCAAGUCGAGCGGUAGCACAGAGAGCUUGCUCUCGGGUGACGAGCGGCGGACGGGUGAGUAAUGUCUGGGAAACUGCCUGAUGGAGGGGGAUAACUACUGGAAACGGUAGCUAAUACCGCAUAAUGUCGCAAGACCAAAGUGGGGGACCUUCGGGCCUCAUGCCAUCAGAUGUGCCCAGAUGGGAUUAGCUAGUAGGUGGGGUAACGGCUCACCUAGGCGACGAUCCCUAGCUGGUCUGAGAGGAUGACCAGCCACACUGGAACUGAGACACGGUCCAGACUCCUACGGGAGGCAGCAGUGGGGAAUAUUGCACAAUGGGCGCAAGCCUGAUGCAGCCAUGCCGCGUGUGUGAAGAAGGCCUUCGGGUUGUAAAGCACUUUCAGCGGGGAGGAAGGCGUUAAGGUUAAUAACCUUGGCGAUUGACGUUACCCGCAGAAGAAGCACCGGCUAACUCCGUGCCAGCAGCCGCGGUAAUACGGAGGGUGCAAGCGUUAAUCGGAAUUACUGGGCGUAAAGCGCACGCAGGCGGUCUGUCAAGUCGGAUGUGAAAUCCCCGGGCUCAACCUGGGAACUGCAUUCGAAACUGGCAGGCUAGAGUCUUGUAGAGGGGGGUAGAAUUCCAGGUGUAGCGGUGAAAUGCGUAGAGAUCUGGAGGAAUACCGGUGGCGAAGGCGGCCCCUGGACAAAGACUGACGCUCAGGUGCGAAAGCGUGGGGAGCAAACAGGAUUAGAUACCCUGGUAGUCCACGCCGUAAACGAUGUCGAUUUGGAGGUUGUGCCCUUGAGGCGUGGCUUCCGGAGCUAACGCGUUAAAUCGACCGCCUGGGGAGUACGGCCGCAAGGUUAAAACUCAAAUGAAUUGACGGGGGCCCGCACAAGCGGUGGAGCAUGUGGUUUAAUUCGAUGCAACGCGAAGAACCUUACCUGGUCUUGACAUCCACAGAACUUUCCAGAGAUGGAUUGGUGCCUUCGGGAACUGUGAGACAGGUGCUGCAUGGCUGUCGUCAGCUCGUGUUGUGAAAUGUUGGGUUAAGUCCCGCAACGAGCGCAACCCUUAUCCUUUGUUGCCAGCGGUUCGGCCGGGAACUCAAAGGAGACUGCCAGUGAUAAACUGGAGGAAGGUGGGGAUGACGUCAAGUCAUCAUGGCCCUUACGACCAGGGCUACACACGUGCUACAAUGGCAUAUACAAAGAGAAGCGACCUCGCGAGAGCAAGCGGACCUCAUAAAGUAUGUCGUAGUCCGGAUUGGAGUCUGCAACUCGACUCCAUGAAGUCGGAAUCGCUAGUAAUCGUAGAUCAGAAUGCUACGGUGAAUACGUUCCCGGGCCUUGUACACACCGCCCGUCACACCAUGGGAGUGGGGUUGCAAAAGAAGUAGGUAGCUUAACCUUCGGGAGGGCGCUUUACCACUUUGUGAUUCAUGACUGGGGGUGAAGUCGUAACAAGGUAACCGUAGGGGAACCUGCGGUUGGAUCACCU
rnacentral:rRNA from 1 species